UUAAGAGGAUCAAAGGUUAAGAGUGCAACAUCCUAUUAACAGCUCAAAGCACGAUAUCCCAUCGUUUCGCCUGCACCGCGUUCUGUAGGCCGCGACGCCUUUGCGACCUGCAUCCUGCAGG
rfam:Bacillus galactosidilyticus strain PL133 scaffold000128, whole genome shotgun sequence.